AGUGAACGUUGGCGGCGUGGAUUAGGCAUGCAAGUCGAGCGAGAACCGUAGCAAUACGGGGACAGCGGCGAAAGGGACAGUAAUGUGUAGGUACCUACCUCCGGGUUCGGGAUAGCUGCGGGAAACUGCAGGUAAUACCGAAUAACGUCUCCGGACCAAAGGUGUGAUUCCACCUGGAGGGGGGCCUGCAUCCUAUUAGCUUGUUGGCGGGGUAACGGCCCACCAAGGCGACGAUGGGUAGCGGGUGUGAGAGCACGACCCGCGUCAUUGGGGCUGAGACACUGCCCAGACACCUACGGGUGGCUGCAGUCGAGGAUCUUCGGCAAUGGGCGCAAGCCUGACCGAGCGACGCCGCGUGCGGGAUGAAGGCCUUCGGGUUGUAAACCGCUGUCGUAGAGGAGGAAGUGCAGGGGGGUUCACCCCUCUGUUUGACCUAUUCUAGGAGGAAGGACGGGCUAAGUUCGUGCCAGCAGCCGCCGUAA
rnacentral:rRNA from 1 species